AACAUUUUCUACUAUGGGAUCCAGGACUAUGACCAGGACCAUGCCUGAGUGCACCUUGUGAUGGAGAAGGGAGACACUGUUUUCUUCCACCCAUUGCUCAUCCAUGGAUCUGGUUGGAAUCAAACUCAAGGAUUCCAGAAAGUAUGCAUCCAUGUUGCUUCAGUUUUGAAAGAUGAAUGGGUUCAAAACAGAAAAUCAUAGGUAUAUUAACACAUAAAAGAUUUAUGACUUUUCACUAAACUGGACUGUUUUUUUCCAGUUUGUUAACCAGGAAGAAUAUUUGCCUUCCUUGUACUUUUUUUUCUCUACUCAGUCAGAAGCCAGGUGCCCUCAGGAUCCUAAACCUGUUACUUGUGAAUCUUGGUCAUUUGUGGAAUUGCUUCAGAGCAGUAGCUCACCUUGCAGUGCCCAGUUUCUGAUUUCUUAACCUAAAACAAUGAUUAAAAUACUCAAAUAAUCACAUUUGGGAUUUAUAUUGCUCAGGGUAACUAGAACAAGACGCAAAUUUAGAAUAUGCUUAUUAUUAUAGAAUAUCCUUACUAACUGGGAAAAACAAUAUUGAUCCUAAGCAAAGGUUCUGAAUUGUCUGCACAUAUUUAUCCCCCUCCAAUCUCAGUGUUUUAAAUUAAAUAAUUUUGUCACUGACAUUUAAAAAUUGACAGAAUUCCUUACAAUUUCCCUGAUUUCUCACUUGUCUCAAAUUCAGCAAAUCUUAUAGUAUUGUGGGCUCACUUUCCUCAUGGUAACAAGGUUGUCCAUAAUAUUAGGGCUCCUUUAAGAUUCAGUGGGGUUUCCAGUUUGUCCCCUGGUUCCCAAUUUGUUCUAACCCCAAGUAUAGGGUUGCAGACUUUAUUCAUUUAUAUUUGCACUAGGCUCACUAGGGCCUGGUACAAGUUGAUACCAGUUGGGGCAGUGCCUGAGGAUAAAAUUGAAGGGGCUACCAAAAUCUCAGCCAUCAAGUUAAAUGCUGUUUUACUAAAUCAAAAUUAAUGCAAAAAAAUCCAUGCUGUGUACAAUGUCAAAAAUUUAAAUAAAAGACAGGAAGUACCCGCACUAGCAUAACCCUCAGGCCGUGUUAAGUAUGAAAGUGCAAGCACAAAGAUGCAAACAGUGAUGUGAUUUGUAAUAUAUUCACUUUGCAAUAUUUUCAUAUUUUCACUGAUUUUAAUGUUCUGGAAGAACAUUUACAAUUAUUUCCUAAAAACAUGGGUGUAGAAGUACACAAUUUUCCUUAUGCCUUGGGCCUUGAUGUGGCUUUGUCUGGAACAGGGUCUGCACAGAAAAUAGAGUUUAAAGAAAACUUUAAAUGCUUAGAAAUGUGAAGAUCUGUUACUUAUGCUGCC
rnacentral:lncRNA from 1 species